rnacentral:misc_RNA from 1 species
CAGAGUUGUAAAACUCCCAAACCCAUGUGAACAUACCUGUUGCCUCGGUGGCCUACCCGGUAGCUACCCUGUAGCUACCCUGUAGUCCGCCGGUGGAAUCAAACUCUGUCAGUAUCUGAGAAAAAUAAUC